UGAGGAAUAUUGGGCAAUGGACGAAAGUCUGACCCAGCCAUGCCGCGUGCAGGAUGACGGCCCUACGGGUUGUAAACUGCUUUUGUACAGGAAGAACUACCACGACGUGUCGAGGUUUGACUGUACUGUACGAAUAAGCAUCGGCUAACUCCGUGCCAGCAGCCGCGGUAAUACGGAGGAUGCAAGCGUUAUCCGGAUUUAUUGGGUUUAAAGGGUGCGUAGGCGGGGUAGUAAGUCAGUGGUGAAAUCUUCCGGCUUAACCGGGAAACUGCCAUUGAUACUGCUUUCCUUGAGUGCAGUUGAGGUGGGCGGAAUGUGUAAUGUAGCGGUGAAAUGCUUAGAUAUUACACAGAACACCGAUUGCGUAGGCAGCUCACUAAACUGUAACUGACGCUGAGGCACGAAAGCGUGGGGAGCGAACA
rnacentral:rRNA from 1 species